UGCACUUUUCCCGUUGCCAGUACGUCCAACCAAAACCACAGUCCGAACUCCAUUAGAAGGGGAAGUGAAUUCCCAGUCAUUGUCGAUUGAGCUUCCACCCAUUCUGUAAAAUCAAAUUUCCUGUAAGAAUGACAUCAGCAAAAUCGGCCGAAAAAGAUUCUUACGCGAUCGGUAUGGAAUCAAAUCAAGGAAGAAGUUAUCGAGGAAUAAGCCAUCAACGAAAGCAACAAAAUCAAUGAUUUUACACGGACAUGGUUACUUACUUUGAGGAGCUAUAUCGUCGGGGCUGGAGAAAGUCGCGGAGAGAGA